GAUGAACGCUGGCGGCGUGCCUAAUACAUGCAAGUCGAGCGAACAGACGAGGAGCUUGCUCCUCUGACGUUAGCGGCGGACGGGAGAGUAACACGUGUAUAACCUACCUAUAAGACUGGGAUAACUUCGGGAAACCGGAGCUAAUACCGGAUAAUAUAUUGAACCGCAUGGUUCAAUAGUAAAAUACGGUUUUGCUGUCACUUAUAGAUGUAUCCGCGCCGCAUGAGCUAGUUGGUAAGGUAACGGCUUACCAAGGCAACGAUGCGUAGCCGAGCUGAGAGGGCGAUCGGCCACACUGGAACUGAGACACGGUCCAGACUCCUACGGGAGGCAGCAGUAGGGAAUCUUCCGCAAUGGGCGAAAGCCUGACGGAGCAACGCCGCGUGAGUGAUGAAGGUCUUCGGAUCGUAAAACUCUGUUAUUAGGGAAGAACAGAUGUGUAAGUAAAUAUGCACGUAUUGACGGUACCUAAUCAGAAAGCCACGGCUAACUACGUG
rnacentral:rRNA from 1 species